CCCUGCACCCCUUCAAGGCAGUCUUCCUGCCUCUGGGGCCCAAGAGCUUAUUUGGUGACAUGGGCAAGGAUGCCUGGUUGGCAUGGUCCUCAGGAGGCACGGAUGAGCAGCUCGUCAUCAUACACAGGAAUAAAAACGACGUUAAACAUUCACUGCUCCUUACACUGCGCUCUGCUGAGCUUUGCCUGAAUCCCCACCUGCUCUUCCCCACCUGCGUCCUGCCCCUGGCCCAAGCAGCAAGUCCUGCUUUCUCCCCAUUUUACAGACGAGACAACUGAGGCUUUCAGACUUUCCCAAGAUUAUUUUCCAAGUGAGGGGAUCCAUCUGAACCCAGGCUGUCAGCAUCCACGGUGCAGACUCUACACCAGCAGCAUCGCCCACGGUGAUAAGUGCGUGAGACUCAUGACUUGCCUGCUCACUCUGCAGCAUGCUAAGGAUGUGCAUGCCUUCACUCCUUUCCAGCUCACAAUGGCCUCCUGUGACAGAUGAGCCAGCUGAGGCGCUGCCCCUCCUCACAAAGUCAGCAGGCUGACAAGAGGGAGACUCUAUCUCAAAAAGAAAGAAAGAAGAAAGAAAAGUCACAGUAUGAGGCUACUCUCUGAAAGGACCCAAAUGUCAACGACAAGCAGAGUACUUUGGAAUAUUCUUCUGCUAUUGCAAGGACUUGUGAAAAUGGAGGCCUCAGUUUCCUUGGACUCAAGCCAGCUGCCAUGCUGUGAGAUGCCCUGGGACGUCCACCUGGGAAGGAACUAACAGUCUUCAGCCAACAGCCAGUGACAACCUGAGGCCUCCCAACAGCCACAUGAGUGAGCUUCGAAGCGGGACCCUCCCUCAGUCAAACCUCCGGAUGGAACCACAGUCCAGACUGACGCCUUGACUACAGCCUCGUGAGAAAACUCGAGGCAGGAACACCCGGCACGAAGCCAUGGAAUCCUGGCCUUCAGAAACUGAGAUUAUAAAUGCUUGUCAUUUUAAACUGCUACAUUUCUAAUGCCAGAGUAGAUAACUAAUAUGAUAUACAUUAUUGCGAGUAAAAUAGAAUGUUCUUCCUUCUUUUGUACACAUGAAACAAACAACCCUGAGCAUCUGCCUAGCUUUCCUGGGUUUGCCCAGCCCUUUUAUGAAGGGGCUCAGCUGGGAUUCCAACCAGGGUGAUGCUCAACUUCACUCCAGCUGCUGGCCCUGAGUGGUCUGAAACAACACCACUUCAGUUCUAGUCAGAGGGCCCUGAGGUAGGCCCUUCUGCUCCCCUCGGGACAUUCUUCUAAGGUCAGCACGCAUCAGCUCACGCACCUCAUCCACUCACGCACCUGGACCCCAUUACAUCGCUCAGCAACUUACUCCUCCUGGGCCAGCUGCUGUCUCAGUUCUCACUGCGCCUGCCUUCCUUGCAAUGGUAUCUGCAUGGUUCUUUCAGAAGGAUGGCCAGUUUUCUCAAAGGUCGGGGUUAGAACAUUGAAUUUUUUUUUUCUUUCUUUUCGGAAGAAAUUCACCACCCUGACCUAUUCUGAGUUAUGAA